rnacentral:rRNA from 1 species
UACGGAGGGUGCAAGCGUUAAUCGGAAUUACUGGGCGUAAAGCGUGCGUAGGCGGUUCGUUAAGUUCGUUGUGAAAGCCCCGGGCUCAACCUGGGAAUGGCAAUGGAAACUGGCGGGCUUGAGUAUGGCAGAGGGGGGUGGAAUUCCGCGUGUAGCAGUGAAAUGCGUAGAGAUGCGGAGGAACACCGAUGGCGAAGGCAGCCCCCUGGGCCAAUACUGACGCUCAGGCACGAAAGCGUGGGGAGCAAACAGG